rnacentral:rRNA from 1 species
GGUCAAGCGAAUAAGCGCACACGGUGGAUGCCUUGGCGGUCAGAGGCGAUGAAGGACGUGGCAGCCUGCGAAAAGUAUCGGGGAGCUGGCAACAAGCUUUGAUCCGGUAAUGUCCGAAUGGGGAAACCCACCCGCUUGCGGGUAUCCUGCAGUGAAUACAUAGCUGCUGGAAGCGAACCUGGUGAACUGAAAUAUCUAAGUAACCAGAGGAAAAGAAAUCAACCGAGAUUCCGUAAGUAGCGACGAGCGAACGCGGACUAGCCCUUAAGCUGGAUUGGUUCUAGGAAAAUGCUCUGGAAAGAGCAGCCAUAGAAGGUGAUAGCCCUGUAUCUGAAAGGGCCAUUCCAGUGAAGACGAGUAGGGCGGGGCACGUGAAACCCUGUCUGAACAUGGGGGGACCAUCCUCCAAGGCUAAAUACUACUGACCGACCGAUAGUGAACCAGUACCGUGAGGGAAAGGCGAAAAGAACCCCGGAGAGGGGAGUGAAAUAGAACCUGAAACCGUGUGCGUACAAGCAGUAGGAGCUCCGCAAGGAGUGACUGCGUACCUUUUGUAUAAUGGGUCAGCGACUUACUGUUCGUGGCAAGCUUAACCGUAUAGGGGAGGCGAAGGGAAACCGAGUCUGAUAAGGGCGCAUAGUCGCGGGCAGUAGACCCGAAACCGGGUGAUCUAGUCAUGCCCAGGGUGAAGGUGCGGUAACACGCACUGGAGGCCCGAACCCACUCCCGUUGCAAAGGUAGGGGAUGAGGUGUGAUUAGGAGUGAAAAGCUAAUCGAACCCGGAGAUAGCUGGUUCUCCUCGAAAGCUAUUUAGGUAGCGCCUCAUAUGUAUCCUCUCGGGGGUAGAGCACUGUUAUGGCUAGGGGGUCAUCGCGACUUACCAAACCAUUGCAAACUCCGAAUACCGAGACGGACUGUAUGGGAGACACACGGCGGGUGCUAACGUCCGUCGUGAAAAGGGAAACAACCCAGACCCACAGCUAAGGUCCCAAAUUUUGUGCUAAGUGGAAAACCAUGUGGAAAGGCACAGACAGCCAGGAGGUUGGCUUAGAAGCAGCCACCCUUUAAAGAAAGCGUAAUAGCUCACUGGUCGAGUCGGUCUGCGGGGAAGAUUUAACGGGGCUAAGCACAGAACCGAAGCUUGGGGUGCAUAACUUUGUUAUGCGCGGUAGAGGAGCGUUCCGUAAGCCGUUGAAGGUGGAUUGAGAAGUCUGCUGGAGGUAUCGGAAGUGCGAAUGCUGACAUGAGUAACGAUAAUGCGGGUGAAAAACCCGCACGCCGAAAGCCCAAGGUUUCCUUGCGCAACGUUAAUCGGCGCAGGGUGAGUCGGCCCCUAAGGCGAGGACGAAAGUCGUAGUCGAUGGGAAGCAGGUUAAUAUUCCUGCACCUCGCGUAAGUGCGAUGGAGGGACGGAGAAGGUUAGGUGUACCAGGCGUUGGUUGUCCUGGGGAAAGGCGGUAGGUUUGGAUCUUUGGCAAAUCCGGGAUCCUUUAAGACCGAGCACCGAGACGAGCCUUUAUGGCGAAGUCACUGAUACCACGCUUCCAGGAAAAGCUCCUAAGCUUCAGCUUACGCAGACCGUACCGUAAACCGACACAGGUGGGUAGGAUGAGAAUUCUCAGGCGCUUGAGAGAACUCGGGUGAAGGAACUAGGCAACAUGGCACCGUAACUUCGGGAGAAGGUGCACCCUUUUUGGUGGCUCGUGCGAGCUAUAGCUGAAGAGGGUCGCAGUAACCAGGCCGCUGCGACUGUUUAUCAAAAACACAGCACUCUGCAAACACGAAAGUGGACGUAUAGGGUGUGACGCCUGCCCGGUGCUGGAAGGUUAAUUGAUGGGGUCAGCCGCAAGGCGAAGCUCUUGAUCGAAGCCCCAGUAAACGGCGGCCGUAACUAUAACGGUCCUAAGGUAGCGAAAUUCCUUGUCGGGUAAGUUCCGACCUGCACGAAUGGCGUAACGACAGCGGCGCUGUCUCCACCCGAGACUCAGUGAAAUUGAAAUCGCUGUGAAGAUGCAGCGUUCCCGUGGCAAGACGGAAAGACCCCGUGAACCUUUACUAUAGCUUUACACUGAACGUUGAGUUCGUCUGUGUAGGAUAGGUGGGAGGCUAUGAAACUGUGGCGCUAGCUGCAGCGGAGCCAUCCUUGAAAUACCACCCUGUCGUGCUUGACGUUCUAACCUGGGCCCAUUAUCUGGGUCGGGGACCGUGUAUGGUGGGUAGUUUGACUGGGGCGGUCUCCUCCUAAAGAGUAACGGAGGAGCUCGAAGGUACGCUCAGCGCGGUCGGACAUCGCGCACUGUGUGCAAAGGCAUAAGCGUGCUUGACUGCAAGAUCGACGGAUCAAGCAGGUAGGAAACUAGGACUUAGUGAUCCGGUGGUUCUGUAUGGAAGGGCCAUCGCUCAACGGAUAAAAGGUACUCCGGGGAUAACAGGCUGAUACCGCCCAAGAGUUCAUAUCGACGGCGGUGUUUGGCACCUCGAUGUCGGCUCAUCACAUCCUGGGGCUGUAGUCGGUCCCAAGGGUAUGGCUGUUCGCCAUUUAAAGUGGUACGCGAGCUGGGUUCAGAACGUCGUGAGACAGUUCGGUCCCUAUCUGCCAUGGGCGUUGGAGAUUUGAGAGGGGCUGCUCCUAGUACGAGAGGACCGGAGUGGACGAACCUCUGGUGUUCCGGUUGUCACGCCAGUGGCAUUGCCGGGUAGCUAUGUUCGGAAGCGAUAACCGCUGAAAGCAUCUAAGCGGGAAGCGCGCCUCAAGAUGAGAUCUCCCGGGGCACAAGCCCCCUGAAGGAACCAUGUAGACUACGUGGUUGAUAGGUCAGGUGUGUAAGUACAGCAAUGUAUUGAGCUAACUGAUACUAAUGAUCCGUGCGGCUUGACCAU